GAUGAACGCUGGCGGCGUGCCUAAUACAUGCAAGUCGAGCGAACAGACGAGGAGCUUGCUCCUCUGACGUUAGCGGCGGACGGGUGAGUAACACGUGGAUAACCUACCUAUAAGACUGGGAUAACUUCGGGAAACCGGAGCUAAUACCGGAUAAUAUAUUGAACCGCAUGGUUCAAUAGUGAAAGACGGUUUUGCUGUCACUUAUAGAUGGAUCCGCGCCGGAUUAGCUAGUUGGUAAGGUAACGGCGUACCAAGGCGACGAUGCGUAGCCGACCGGAGAGGGUGAUCGGCCGCACUGGAACUGAGACACGGUCCAGGGUCCUACGGGAGGCAGCAGUAGGGAAUCUGCCGCAAUGGGCGGAAGCCUGACGGAGCAGCGCCGCGUGAGUGAUGAAGGUCUUCGGAUCGUAAAACUCUGUUAUUAGGGAAGAACAAAUGUGUAAGUAACUAUGCACGUCUUGACGGUACCUGAUCAGAAAGCCACGGCUAACUACGUG
rnacentral:rRNA from 1 species